UAUAUAAUUAUAUUUUGGCCAAAUGUCCCUUGUGUCUUUUAAUUUCAUUGGUGUUUUAGUUUGUCUUAUGUCAUUGGAUUGGUCUUGGAGAUUUUCCCUCCAAGAGUUCUGUUCUUUGUGGUCAGUCUUUAUUCAGUUUUUGAAGAAGAGAGUUGAUUUCAGUAGAUCUGACAUAUUUUGACAAUUAGACAUAGACCGACAUUUUUCCUCUUGAAUGAUCAGACCAGUUUGGUGUCAUCUGUAAAUAUUGUUCACUCGAGCCUAUUCCCAUAGAAUGGGUUUCAUCAUUGGACAAUUCGUGCAUUGGUAACUCCUGAAUAAACGUCUUGUCGAGAACCCAA